ACUGAUGUGUUUUGUGUAAAAAAUAAUGAAGUGAAGUUUGUUUGUUUUUGUUUUUCUAUUUUUUUUUUUUAUAUAGUCUUUUUAACGUGCCCAGUUGCCCGGCAAUUGUCAGAACGAUUUUUGCGAGCACAGUCAAUUGCGGUCACAGCCUCUCCAAAGUUUGUUAGCAAAAUUAUUUGUAAAAUGAAAAAUCAGAAAUGUUGCAGACUACAUUGCGAUGAUGAUCAUAAUAUUUAUACUUCAAGUAGCAAAACAUUAAACAAAGGAAUAUUGACGUUAGAUAACAAAUGGCAAAGUAACAGAAGAUAUAAGAAGAGAAGAAAUAAGAAGUACGGACAAAAUAGAAAUCGAGUUGGACCGGAUCAGUAUGUAUUUUAUUCAGUAAUUAACAGUGAUAUUAUUAAGGAGUCACGAAUAGCAGCAACUUUGAUAGCAUGUAGUAUACUUAUGCUACACAAGAAAUUAGAAACAGAUAAGGCAAAAAAACAAUAUAUUAAAGAAUGGGAGAAAUCAGGAAAGAACAUAAUUAUUUUGCGAGGCUACGAUAACAAACAUUUAAAAUAUCUCGAAAAAGAAACGGGAUAUACGGCCCUCGGUAAUCAAGCUAUCCAGUUAUAUCACAGCCAGAUAAUGCUGGUAUUAUCGGUGUUCGGACGGAAGGGCGACAUUGAGGAAAUCUUCGACGGAAUUCCGGUUUUAGAAUAGUCCUGUCAUUACGAAGAUUAUCGUUGCGACACAAGCAGAAGGAGAACGGAGUUAUCCUAAUACCCCACGGCAGCGGAUAAAGAGAGGAUUUACCGAUAGCGCUUUUGCAGAAACGAAUGCGAUAUCCAACCACCAGCCGGUCGUUGAAAGUUUCAGAAGGAGGUCGUUGAGGGUUCGAAGAGACGUCGAGGUUUUAUUACCACCCCACUACGUUACACGCCGCGACCACAGAGGGGCGUCGGAGGAGAACGACUGGC